UUCCUAGAUCAGCUCCCACCACAGUCAGUCUGGUGGUCUGGGUCCAGGCCAGAGCCAUGACAUACAUCAGAUGCCAAUGACCCCUAAAGGAGUUCUGGGACAGGCCAGCCAGCACUGCUCUAGCACAAACUAGGUAAAAGGUCUUGUGAAUGGUGGCACACACCUGUGAUCCUGGCACUUGGGAGGGUACGGGGAUCAGGAAUUCAAGGUCAGGCCUUGGAUCUUUCUAUGACAAGUGUGA